rnacentral:lncRNA from 1 species
ACUACUCCUGGCUGCUCUUCGCUGCCCUGGCUCUCUAUAGUGCCCACCUGACCAGCACAGAGCACGUAGAUGGGGAGCAGCUGGACCCCCAGGCCCGCGGCAGCGCUGCCACCCUGCGGAGCCAAUGCAUGCAGCUGGUUGGGGACUGUCUGAUGAAGGCCCACCAGGGCAAAGGUGACUCUUCCUUAUGUGGGACCCCUUCAGCCUCUGUCUACUGUCGGAGGCAAAGCCCAGGUGGCCUUAAAAGACCAUGUUUGACUCAAAGGUCCUUCACAAGAGGGAUUCAGCCUAGCCUGGAACUUAAGUUCCCGUUUCUCUUAAGUUCUGUUCCUGUUGGAUAAAGUAAGUUAGUUAAAGUGCUUCCCUGAUGAUGUAGUAAUCAGAACUGUAGAAAACUCUGUAAGUCCAUGAAUCUGUACUGUUUGACUUUCUUAUUUUACUCAGGACUCUAUGCUUAAAAAAAAAAAAACAUGAAGUAUAAAUCCACAUGAUUUGUAUUCUAGACAAGAGCUGCUUACAAAUAAAAUGGUGUUUCUGGGUUUGAUCAUGCACACAUGAA